CCCUUAGAUGUUCUGGGCCGCACGCGCGCUACACUGGUGCAUUCAACGAGUCUAAAACCUGCUCUGAUAGGGGUGGGUAAUCUUUUGAAUGUGCAUCGUGAUUGGGAUAGAUGAUUGCAAUUUUUCAUCUUCAACGAGGAAUGCCUAGUAAACGCAAGUCAUCAGCUUGCAUUGAUUACGUCCCUGCCCUUUGUACACACCGCCCGUCGCUCCUACCGAUUGAAUGAUCCGAUGAAUAUCAUGGAUUGAGGAUGUAAGCAGGUUCGCCUGUCUUCAUCUUCGAGAAGUGAAGUAAAUCUUAUCAUUUAGAGGAAGGAGAAGUCGUAACA
rnacentral:rRNA from 1 species